GACGAACGCUGGCGGCGUGCUUAACACAUGCAAGUCGAACGGAAAGGCCCUGCUUUUGUGGGGUGCUCGAGUGGCGAACGGGUGAGUAACACGUGAGUAACCUGCCCUUGACUUUGGGAUAACUUCAGGAAACUGGGGCUAAUACCGGAUAGGAGCUCCUGCUGCAUGGUGGGGGUUGGAAAGUUUCGGCGGUUGGGGAUGGACUCGCGGCUUAUCAGCUUGUUGGUGGGGUAGUGGCUUACCAAGGCUUUGACGGGUAGCCGGCCUGAGAGGGUGACCGGCCACAUUGGGACGGAGAUACGGCCCGGACUCCUAGGGGGGGCAGCAGGGGGAAUAUUGCACAAUGGGCGGAAGCCUGAUGCAGCAACGCCGCGUGCGGGAUGACGGCCUUCGGGUUGUAAACCGCUUUCGCCUGUGACGAAGCGUGAGUGACGGUAAUGGGUAAAGAAGCACCGGCUAACUACGUG
rnacentral:rRNA from 1 species